rnacentral:rRNA from 1 species
GACGAACGCUGGCGGCGUGCUUAACACAUGCAAGUCGAACGGAAAGGCCCUGCUUUUGUGGGGUGCUCGAGUGGCGAACGGGUGAGUAACACGUGAGUAACCUGCCCUUGACUUUGGGAUAACUUCAGGAAACUGGGGCUAAUACCGGAUAGGAGCUCCUGUUGCAUGGUGGGGGUUGGAAAGUUUAGGCGGUGGGGGAUGGACGCGCGGCUUAUCAGAUUGUUGGUGGGGUAGUGGCUUACCAAGGCUUUGACGGGUAGCCGGCCUGAGAGGGUGACCGGCCACAUUGGGACUGAGAUACGGCCCAGACUCCUACGGUAGGCAGCAGUGAAAAAUAUUGCACAAUUGGCGCAAGCCUGAUACGUCAACUCCGCGUGCGGGAUGACGGCCUUCGGGUUGUAAACCUCUUUCACCUAUGACAAAGCUUUAGUAACUUUCAUGGCUAAACAACCACCGGCUAACUACCUG